rnacentral:rRNA from 1 species
UACGUAGGGGGCAAGCGUUAUCCGGACUUACUGGGUGUAAAGGGAGCGUAGACGGCGAUGCAAGCCAGAUGUGAAAGCCCGGGGCUCAACCCCGGGACUGCAUUUGGAACUGUGUGGCUGGAGUGUCGGAGAGGCAAGUGGAAUUCCUAGUGUAGCGGUGAAAUGCGUAGAUAUUAGGAGGAACACCAGUGGCGAAGGCGGCUUGCUGGACGAUGACUGACGUUGAGGCUCGAAAGCGUGGGGAGCAAACAGG